AUUGAACGCUGGCGGCAGGCCUAACACAUGCAAGUCGAGCGGAUGAGGGUAGCUUGCUAUCUGAUUCAGCGGCGGACGGGUGAGUAAUGCCUAGGAAUCUGCCUGGUAGUGGGGGACAACGUUUCGAAAGGAACGCUAAUACCGCAUACGUCCUACGGGAGAAAGCGGGGGAUCUUCGGACCUCACGCUAUCAGAUGAGCCUAGGUACGAUUAGCUAGUUGGUGAGGUAAAGGCUCACCAAGGCGACGAUCGUUAACUGGUCUGAGAGGAUGAUCAGUCACACUGGAACUGAGACACGGUCCAGACUCCUACGGGAGGCAGCAGUGGGGAAUAUUGGACAAUGGGCGAAAGCCUGAUCCAGCCAUGCCGCGUGUGUGAAGAAGGUCUUCGGAUUGUAAAGCACUUUAAGUUGGGAGGAAGGGCAGUAAGUUAAUACCUUGCUGUUUUGACGUUACCAACAGAAUAAGCACCGGCUAACUUCGUGCCAGCAGCCGCCGUAACAC
rnacentral:rRNA from 1 species